AACCCUGAACCCCGACCAAGAAGACCAACGUCUGACACCCCCUCAGCAUCAACCCUGAACCCCCGACCAAGAAGACCAAAGUCUGACACCCCCUCAGCAUCAACCCUGAACCCCCGACCAAGAAGACCAACGUCUGACACCCCCCUCAGCAUCAACCCUGAACCCCGACCAAGAAGACCAACGUCUGACACCCCCUCAGCAUCAACCCUGAACCCCCGACCAAGAAGACCAACGUCUGACACCCCCUCAGCAUCAACCCUGAACCCCCGACCAAGAAGACCAACGUCUGACACCCCCUCAGCAUCAACCCCCCUCCUCCCUAUCUACCAUUCUUCCUCUACGAGGACAAUCAUUGAUAAUCAAUACGUUUUGAUGCUGCCGGUUUUAUUUCCUGUUGUAACUGACCAAUCACAUUAAUACUGCCUCAUUUCCUGUUAUAACUGGCCAAUCACAUUAAUACUGUCUCAUUUCCUGUUGUAACUGGCCAAUCACGUUAAUACUGUCUUGUUUCCUGUUAUAACUGACCAAUCACAUUAAUACUGCCUCUCAUUUCCUGUUGUAACUGGCAAAUCACUGGUUCCGAUUUUAUACAGACAGAAAUAAUGUCCUAAAUAACGUCCCCUUUCAUGGUGCUCUCCUGGUCCAACGUACGGCCCUAUAGAGGGUGUCAUUUCAGAUUGAACAAAUCCUUCUAAUAUCCUGCCUUUUUAUAUAGACUGGUGAUGUCAUCAACCUGCGACCUAAAUAACGUCCCCUUUCAUGGUGCUCUCCUGCUCCAACCUACGGCCCUAUAGAGGGUGUCAUUUCAGAUUGAACAAAUCCUUCUAAUAUCCUGCCUUUUUAUAUAGACUGGUGAUGUCAUCAACCUGCGACCUAAAUAACGUCCCCUUUCAUGGUGCUCUCCUGGUCCAACGUACAGCCCUAUAGAGGGUGUCAUUUCAGAUUGAACAAAUCCUUCUAAUAUCCUGCCUUUUUAUAUAGACUGGUGAUGUCAUCAACCUGCGACCUAAAUAACGUCCCCUUUCAUGGUGCUCUCCUGGUCCAACGUACAGCCCUAUAAAGGGUGUCAUUUCAGAUUGAACAAAUCCUUCUAAUAUCCUGCCUUUUUAUAUAUAGACUGGUGAUGUCAUCAACCUGCGACCUAAAUAACGUCCCCUUUCAUGGUGCUCUCCUGGUCCAACGUACAGCCCUAUAGAGGGUGUCAUUUCAGAUUGAACAAAUCCUUCUAAUAUCCUGCCUUUUUAUAUAGACUGGUGAUGUCAUCAACCUGCGACCUAAAUAACGUCCCCUUUCAUGGUGCUCUCCUGGUCCAACGUACAGCCCUAUAGAGGGUGUCAUUUCAGAUUGAACAAAUCCUUCUAAUAUCCUGCCUUUUUAUAUAGACUGGUGAUGUCAUCAACCUGCGACCUAAAUAACGUCCCCUUUCAUGGUGCUCUCCUGGUCCAACGUACGGCCCUAUAGAGGGUGUCAUUUCAGAUUGAACAAAUCCUUUAAUAUCCUGCCUUUUUAUAUAGACUGGUGAUGUCAUCAACCUGCGACUUAAAUAAAACAAGAUGUGAACUGUCAUCACAGACUCUCU
ensembl:lncRNA